rnacentral:rRNA from 1 species
UACGAAGGGGGCUAGCGUUGCUCGGAAUCACUGGGCGUAAAGCGCACGUAGGCGGAUUGUUAAGUCAGGGGUGAAAUCCUGGAGCUCAACUCCAGAACUGCCUUUGAUACUGGCGAUCUCGAGUCCGGGAGAGGUGAGGGGAACUGCGAGUGUAGAGGUGAAAUUCGUAGAUAUUCGCAAGAACACCAGUGGCGAAGGCGGCUCACUGGCCCGGUACUGACGCUGAGGUGCGAAAGCGUGGGGAGCAAACAGG